rnacentral:rRNA from 1 species
CCUACGGGUGGCAGCAGUGAGGAAUAUUGGUCAAUGGACGAAACUCUGAACCAGCCAAGUAGCGUGAAGGAUGACUGCCCUAUGGGUUGUAAACUUCUUUUAUAUGGGAAUAAACUGUUCCACGUGUGGGUUUUUGUAUGUACCAUAUGAAUAAGGAUCGGCUAAAUCCGUGCCAGCAGCCGCGGUAAUACGGAGGAUCCGGGCGUUAUCCGGAUUUAUUGGGUUUAAAGGGAGCGUAGGUGGAUUGUUAAGUCAGUUGUGAAAGUUUGCGGCUCAACCGUAAAAUUGCAGUUGAAACUGGCAGGCUUGAGUACAGUAGAGGUGGGCGGAAUUCGUGGUGUAGCGGUGAAAUGCUUAGAUAUCACGAAGAACUCCGAUUGCGAAGGCAGUUCACUGUACUGUAACUGACACUGAGGCUCGAAAGUGCGGGUAUCAAACAGGAUUAGAUACCCGUGUAGUC